rnacentral:rRNA from 1 species
UGGGGAAUUUUGGACAAUGGGCGAAAGCCUGAUCCAGCGACGCCGCGUGUGCGAUGAAGGCCUUUGGGUCGUAAAGCACUGUCGACAGGGACGAAAACUCGGUGGAUAACACCCACCGAGCUUGACUGUACCUGUGGAGGAAGCACCGGCUAACUCUGUGCCAGCAGCCGCGGUAAUACAGAGGGUGCGAACGUUGCUCGGAAUUACUGGGCGUAAAGCGCGUGUAGGCGGUCCGUUAAGUUGGUAGUGAAAUCCCAUGGCUCAACCAUGGAAGUGCUGCCAAAACUGGCGGGCUGGAGUGCCGGAGAGGGUGGCGGAAUUCCCAGUGUAGAGGUGAAAUUCGUAGAUAUUGGGAGGAACACCGGUGGCGAAGGCGGCCACCUGGACGGUAACUGACGCUAAGACGCGAAAGCGUGGGGAGCAAACAGG